GAUUUGAAACCUGCUCAGCAGAGUGCUUGCUCUUCAGGAAAUAAACCCAAAGGACAAGAGGACAUGAGCUCAAUGCGUGGACUCUCAGGUGGUUGGCUGAUUUGUGCAGAACAAGGAAACCUGCAUCUUCUACAAGAUGUGUCAGAAGAUCUGAUAAGAUUUGAUAGUGACUGGAAUGACAAAUGCAACAAGAGAAGGAGGGCUUGUAGUAGGAGAUUUUUCAGAAAACAGAGAAAUCUAUUGAUGGAGUUUCCAUUGGACAGCACAAGCAUUGAGGGCUCAGAACUGCCACAGGUAAGAAAACCAACUUCUGUUAUGCACAUUUUUGUAUCUUGCUUAAGUAAUGCUUGUCACCCGUCUCUAUAAUGAUUAUAUUAGAAACAUAAAGUCCUGUCAGGCUUCAUUUCAAAUAAAAGAGCUUCAAAUUCUAUUCCUCAGAUCAGUCAAUUUUCAUCAACUAAGGUGAAAUCACCUCCAGGUACAUUCUAUCUGAAAUGAACUUAAAAUGCACUGAUUGCAGAGCAUGCAGUGCAUGCCACUGAAUUGUUGGAAUUUAUACAAAUUGCUGUUAUUAAUGUAAUGCCUGAUGUUACAGUAGAAGAAAAAAGGUAAACAGCUGUAGUUCUAAUAAUUUUCUCUUGAGAGUUGAAGAAAAACAUUUCAAUUUAGACACCCCUGGUUGAUUUUUGUGUCAUUAAACAGAACUAAUGACAAUUCUGGAGAAACUUUCCCCAUUUGUCAUAGACUCAGUUGGUUUCCUUCAUUCCACUGAGCUUAACAAUCUGAGAAUAGCUGAUAAUUUGUCCUUGUGGCUAAAUGUUUUUCCAUUAUAUAAAUCCUGGAUGCUAUUCUAAUACACAAAAUCUAAAAGAAGAAAAGGUAAAACCAGUGUAUUAGGCUGGUUGCUGAGAUAAAAAUCUUGACAGAAAUGAAAUGUUGAUUAAAUCUUAACAACAUCACUUGGUGGGAACAGGAAUGGGUGGUUCAAAAUGUCUCUAAGAAUGUUUAACAAAGAUGGAAUGAUAUCAACACUAUAGGUAGUCCCCAUAUAACAGACUUUGAGCAACAUCCACAAUUAUUUUGUAUUUUCUAGGGAAUAAUUUGGCUUUGAAAAAUGCAAAGUUCAUAAACACACUUACCUAUGCAUCAUUUGCCAGUGGCACAUUUGUAAUUUGUUGUCUUCCAACACAAGAAGAAAAGCAUUCCAAUUAUGACAGUUUUUAUUUUUAAAAUGGCUUAGGAAAAAAAAAAAAAAAGCCCAAACAAAAGUGCUACAAAAAUCUGCAGCAAGAGAUAGAAUAAUAAUAGGAUGGGGCACUCAGCCCUGGAUAGUCAGAAGCAUUACUCUGAGGUCUAAUAUACUAAGGUCUUUCCAUGGCUUUCUCCUCCCUCCCACAAUUAUCACAGGCCUGUUUGGUUAGGAGUUUGAGCCAGUCUGAUCAUACAACACUUAUUUUUGCCUGUGAAGAGCCUCACCAAAAGGAGUUUUCAGGCUUGUUUGGUUUUGUUUGGGUUUUUGUUUUGGUUUUGGUUUGUUUGUUUUAAAUUUUAUUUUGAUAAUUUCUUUUUCUAAAAGGCCAAUUCUGACUACCAAGAGAUAUUCCAUCCAGUCAAGGAAAGAUAACAGAAAAGCUACUAAAGCUCUUAGUUCCUAUAGUUACAAUCUUUACCAUAUGUGAACUGCAAGGUUUUGGGACGCUGAUAAUGAAAAAGUACAAACAUGUUUUCAAAGUAUGUUCACCCAUAUUCAGUGAGGUAGACCUGGUGCAGGUGGAUCUGUCCUUAUCCCUGUUUUUUGUGUGUGAUCCCAUCUGCUUCCUCAGGCUGGAAUUGCAAUCGUGUGUUCAUGGGAUAAUGCAAAUCAGGGAACCAGUCUGUGGCUGGGAAAAAAGAAUGCUUAGUCCAUUUUCUGGUUCAUUGUGAAGCCACUUCCUGCUGGGAUGAAGGGAGGACAAGGAUUAAAUCAGGGACCACCCAUUUCACCAGUGACACAGAAGCCCAUUGGUUCAAACAGAUCAAGAAAGUUUAGCCAGAUGGCCUGAUCCAAAUCCUGCUAAAGCCACUGUGAGCCCUCCACUUUAUCUCCUCUUGGAAGGAUUUCAGAGAUGGACGAGCAGAGAGAGAGUGACCCAUAGUAGCACUGGGGACAGGCUGGCCAAAACAUCUGGGGAUCAUCCACCGCAACUUUGCAAAGGCUUCUCAGAGCACUGAGCUGUAGGGAGUGUUUAAUAAGAUCCUGUGUAGAGACUAAGAAUUUGGCUCUCAGAAAGGAGAAUACACCAUAAUUUUUUCUGACAGUGCAAAUAAAUCCUUUUGUAAGAAUUGUCAUGCCAGACAAAACUAAAGGUGCAAUUCCAGGAACAUUUCUUCAAAAGCAGUCCGGGCACAUGGCUUGUGUGGAAACACUGAGCUAAAGAGAGGAACUGCCAAGCCAGCAGAAGAGAAGUAUUUUUUCCUUCCAGAUUUUUUUUCCCAGCAGGAGGCCUUUUAAAGUUCAAAGCACCUUGAAGAGUUGAUGUGCAGCUAAACAGAAUAGAAUAGAAUAGAAUAGAAUAGAAUAGAAUAGAAUAGAAUAGAAUAGAAUAGAAUAGAAUAGAAUAGAAUAGAAUAGAAUAGAUCACAGUGACACAAUACAAAUGUUAGAAACACUCCAUCAUUUACUAUAUAGAAAUUAAUUAUGAAUGUUCUGUAAAUCAAUACACAGAUAGGAGGCAUACAAAUAAAUCUUCAUAGCUACUUCCCUGCCCUCCUGUUAUAAAAACCAUCAAUAGUAGAAUUUCCACAGCUCACUAGGAAGCUCAUCACUGUGCUGAGCUGCCUUUGGAGAUGGAAAGCUUUCUGUAAUGCUUAACUGAAUAAUCUUUUUGUGCAUAUUAUGCCAUGCACUUUUUUUUUCUACCAUCAGAAAAAAUGCAGAGAAUAUUAUCACCACUGGUCAUUUUGUCCUCAAAAAAUCAACUGGUGUAGGAAAAUGUUUUCAUUUGAAGGCUGCAAUGCUUUUAACUAGAAGAAAUACAUCUUAUCUUAAAUGAAAAAAAUGGAGAUGAGAGGGUAACUCCUUCUUCUUCAGCCUCAUCUAUAACAUUAUUCUUGUCGGGAAUAUUUGAAAUUUCUGGCAAAGCUGCAGUGUUUUCAAAAAGCAGAAGAAAUCCAUCCUUUCUGUAUCAUUUCCACACAC
ensembl:lncRNA